GGUGAAGGAGGACACGACUCGAGGAUGAGGGUAAGUUCCCCAAAGGGUGGAUUUUAUUAAAUAAGAAGGGUGGUGAUAGGCGUUGCUGUGAGGCGGUUUGGUGCUCGGUGCUCGGCGUCUUGGCUGUCGGUGCGCUGGUGCAGUGUGGGGCCGUGCUCUCCCGUGGCUGGUGGGGCUGGCGGUCACACGCUGCUCUCUGUGGGCAAAAGGAAAGACAAGUUUCAGCCGAGUCUUGUGGAGACAUCUCUCACCUCUGUGCUGGUUUGCAGGGCUUAUGAGAGCAGCGUCUGAUGGGGCGCAGGUGUGGCCGCUCAGCCCGUGAUGAGCAGGUGCAGGUGUGCCUGCUCCGUUUCCAGGGCGACGCUGACGAGAGCUCGGGACACGUGUCACAAUAUAUAUAUAUAUAUAUAUAUAUAUAUAUAUAUAUAUAUAUAUAUAUAUAUAUAUGUGGCAGGGUGGAAGGAUCACACGACAAGGAGAGCUUAAUUAAAGGCCCCGGAGGGUGGGUUUAUUGAUAGGCAAGUGAAUACGUGAAACGGUGAUGGUGCUGUAGCUCGCUGUGAUCCUCUCGGUCAUGUCCAGGUGUGGGUGCAUCCCUGCUGUGCUCGUGGCGGGGCUGAUCAGUCACUCAGUGCUCUCUGGAACGGAAUAGAGAGAGAGUUAGUCUGCUGUCUCAUGGAGAGGCUUCUCACCCUUCUUCGGUGAGCAUGCUGCUUAUCUGCCAGCGGGUUAACGACUCCCAGGUGUGGCUGAUCAGCCCUUAGUGCUCGUGACCAGGUGCUCCUCAUGAGUUUCCAGGGGCAGCACUGAUGUGGAACCGGGACGCGCGCCCCUCCAAUGGAUGGGUGGUCCGUAACGAGAGUGAACUUACGGCCCAGGAGGUAGUAGCGCAGCUCCAGGACUGCACACUUGAUGGCCAGAGAUUCUCAGCCAGGGUCAGCUUCCUGCUGAUAUAACAGACUGAACGCUCCUUACCUUCCUGGACCUGGGAGAGGAUGGCUCCAAGUCCUGUGUCGGAGGCAUCCGUAUGCAGCAGGAAGGGGCAACUGAAGUCCGGGGCUCAUAGAACCGGCUCGGAAGGUGAACACUGUCUUCACAUUCCUGAAGGCCUCCUCUGCCUCGGGUGUCCAACACACCUUCUCUGGCUGCCCCUUUCUGGUCAGGUCUGUCGAGGGGCGGCUAAGGAGGAGAAGUUAGCAGCUCAAAAGGGGUGGCUUGAGGCCUGAGGUACCUCCUGUGUCCCGAACAGGACAUAUGGCAGCAUGAGAUCCCAGUCCCGUUUGUCCUCCACUGCCACUCGUCACAGCAUUUGCUUGAGGGUUUGAUUAAACCAUUCAACAAGGCUGUCUGAUUGGGGGUGGUAUACAUGCUGGUCUCAAGUUGAACACUGAAAAAUGUCUGCUACAACAGAGUCAACUCAGGUACUUAGGACACGUCAUAAGGAGAAUGCUUGGAAUGAUUCACUAAUUGGGCAGGUAUAUUCCUCAUCUCCCCAAUGUCAUUCGACUUCUCGACG
ensembl:lncRNA